rnacentral:rRNA from 1 species
UACGUAGGUGGCGAGCGUUAUCCGGAAUUAUUGGGCGUAAAGAGCGCGCAGGUGGUUGAUUAAGUCUGAUGUGAAAGCCCACGGCUUAACCGUGGAGGGUCAUUGGAAACUGGUCGACUUGAGUGCAGAAGAGGGAAGUGGAAUUCCAUGUGUAGCGGUGAAAUGCGUAGAUAUCAGGAGGAACACCGGCGGCGAAGGCGGCUUGCUGGACGGCAACUGACGUUGAGGCUCGAAAGCGUGGGGAGCAAACAGGAUUAGAUACCCU